rnacentral:rRNA from 1 species
CAGCAGCCGCGGGAAUACGAAGGGGGCUAGCGUUGUUCGGAUUUACUGGGCGUAAAGGGCGCGUAGGCGGACUGAUAAGUCAGGGGUGAAAUCCCAAGGCUCAACCUUGGAACUGCCUUUGAUACUGUUUGUCUUGAGUUCGAGAGAGGUAAGUGGAACUGCGAGUGUAGAGGUGAAAUUCGUAGAUAUUCGCAAGAACACCAGUGGCGAAGGCGGCUUACUGGCUCGAAACUGACGCUGAGGCGCGAAAGCGUGGGGAGCAAACAGGAUUAGAUACCCGCGUAGUCCCUGUCUCUUAUAC